AUCAUUGCUGUACUGUCAUGGCCAGCUGUUUCUCCUGACCUCUCCCCCCAUAGAACAUGUCUGGGGUUAAAUGGAAUGAUACCUACAUCAGGAUUAGAAUUAGCUCACAGUACAUAAAAUAAAAAACAAAACCAAGCACAUUGUAAACAGCAGUAAGGCACACUUACUGCAUGUCACAAGGGUACAUUCAGAAAUGAGCAAAAAUGAUAUUUCAAUGUACUUGUGGCAAGUGAGCAAGUUGUAGAGACACAAAUGUUGGGUCAUCUGUGCAAGUUUUAGGUUCAUAGGCCCUGUGGUUUCAGAGCAGAUUCAAAUAUCAUUGUUAACACCAUCCGACCAUGGAUAACUCACCAGAACACACAUUUACAAGAGCAAUGACCAACUAUGUAUGACAUGUAAUACAUUGUUUACUUCAACAGGCUAACUGACCAAAGUGGACAUUUGAACAAGACACUCUGAUCUUGUAAAGUAAACAGCUGCAUGAUGUUGCUUGUCAUGGUACACCACAUCUCAUUCCUCCACCUUUUGGUUCAUAUGGUAAAUACAACAAAAUGGCUUGCACUUUCUAUGGAACUCAUUAUUUUAUUGCGUUUAAUUCUUUACAGACUGGAGAUAAAAGUCAAAAGUAAUCAAAGAUAAGACGUAAAUUAGUAAUUCUAACCUUAACUACCAACAACACUGUAGCACAUCAUCUAGCUCUACCAAAUAGAAUAAUUAAUACAUUGUUGAGUCUACUGUUUGGAAUGAUUCUGCCAAUGGUCAUACAUCUUAUGCUGUGUAGGAUAAAUGGGCAGCUAGAGGCAUGACACCUGGGACUGAACCAUUCAGCAGCCUCUAGACAUAGCGCAUAGGCACCUGCAGGGGGCUGACACAGUGACACUAGACAACUCCAGGUCAAUAGCUGUCCGAGGGGCUGACACAGUGCACCAGACAACUCCAGGUCAACAGCUGUCAGAGGGGCUGACACAGUGCAUUAGACAACUCCAGGUCAACAGCCGUGGGAGGGGCUGACACAGUGCAUUAGACAACUCCAGGUUAACAGCUGUCAGAGGGGCUGACACAGUGCAUUAGACAACUCCAGGUCAACAGCCGUGGGAGGGGCUGACACAGUGCAUUAGACAACUCCAGGUCAACAGCCGUCGGAGGGGCUGACACAGUGCAUUAGACAACUCCAGGUCAACAGCCGUGGGAGGGGCUGACACAGUGCAUUAGACAACUCCAGGUUAACAGCUGUCAGAGGGGCUGACACAGUGCACCAGACAACUCCAGGUCAACAGCCAUCAGAAGGGCUGACAUGGGGUAUUCACAACUACAGACUCCCACACUUGGCAGGUGAAGAGCAGUUUACUUGAUACAAAGUUGGAUAAAAGUGAAGGUUCUGUAUAGAAAAUGGGUACUGAUCAAAUCAGUCACAUUUAUGCAGUACACAAUACUUUUAACUUAUAAUAUGCUUGCAUUAUAUAAAACAUGUAUACAGCACAUACAAAAAACUAAAAUUCAAUUGUGAGCUCCUCAAUGAUUAAAAACACACUUUCUCACAUUCCUGUGAUCACUUCUCUAAUUGUACAAACUAACCUGUAACUAUAGCCAAUUGCACUUACCAGACAAGAAAGGUUGAGGUUUCAUCUGAACAGAUGGUCCACCUGACAUUCUGUAACACUGACUGCAGUUCAUAGAAGUCAAAGCUGAUGUGGUUCAAUUUAUUUCUCACCAUGUGUAUAUGGAACAGUUCAGUUAAAAGUGCAACUUGGACACUUAAAAAGAGCAAUACAUGUACAGCAAAUUGCAUUCUGACCUGAUCCAGUACCAUGCCCAGGAUCCACUUACAUGCUCCAGUACCGGUCUUAAAUACUGACACUCAAACUUCUAGAUUUUUCUUUUCUGAUUUAAUCAUUGGAGAAAUAAUUUUAUCAGAAAAAACAAAUCUUUAUUUAUCUGCAAAGUAUAGGGGACCAACCAUUGGAUAUUCAGGGAGAGGGGGUCUGGGA